AGCGAACGCUGGCGGCAGGCCUAAUACAUGCAAGUCGAACGGCUCUUCGGAGCAGUGGCGGACGGGUGAGUAACGCGUGGGAACGUGCCCUUUGGUUCGGAACAACACAGGGAAACUUGUGCUAAUACCGAAUGUGCCCUUCGGGGGAAAGAUUUAUCGCCAUUGGAGCGGCCCGCGUUGGAUUAGCUAGUUGGUGGGGUAAUGGCCCACCAAGGCGACGAUCCAUAGCUGGUCUGAGAGGAUGAUCAGCCACACUGGGACUGAGACACGGCCCAGACUACUACGGGAGGCAGCAGUAGGGAAUCUUGCGCAAUGGGCGAAAGCCUGACGCAGCCAUGCCGCGUGAAUGAUGAAGGUCUUAGGUUUGUAAAAUUCUUUCACCGGGGAAGAUAAUGACGGUACCCGGAGAAGAAGCCCCGGCUAACUUCGUGCCAGCCGCCGCCGUAA
rnacentral:rRNA from 1 species